GAUGAACGCUGGCGGCGUGCCUAAUACAUGCAAGUCGAGCGAACAGACGAGGAGCUUGCUCCUCUGACGUUAGCGGCGGACGGGUGAGUAACACGUGGAUAACCUACCUAUAAGACUGGGAUAACUUCGGGAAACCGGAGCUAAUACCGGAUAAUAUAUUGAACCGCAUGGUUCAAUAGUGAAAGACGGUUUUGCUGUCACUUAUAGAUGGAUCCGCGCCGCAUUAGCUAGUUGGUAAGGUAACGGCUUACCAAGGCAACGAUGCGUAGCCGACCUGAGAGGGUGAUCGGCCACACUGGAACUGAGACACGGUCCAGACUCCUACGGGAGGCAGCAGUAGGGAAUCUUCCGCAAUGGGCGAAAGCCUGACGGAGCAACGCCGCGUGAGUGAUGAAGGUCUUCGGAUCGCAAAACUCUGUUAUUAGGGAAGAACAAAUGUGUAAGUAACUAUGCACGUCUUGACGGUACCUAAUCAGAAAGCCACGGCUAACUACGUG
rnacentral:rRNA from 1 species